GACGAACGCUGGCGGCGUGCCUAAUACAUGCAAGUCGAACGCUGAAGGAGGAGCUUGCUUCUCUGGAUGAGUUGCGAACGGGUGAGUAACGCGUAGGUAACCUGCCUGGUAGCGGGGGAUAACUAUUGGAAACGAUAGCUAAUACCGCAUAAUAGUAGAUGUUGCAUGACAUUUGCUUAAAAGGUGCAAUUGCAUCACUACCAGAUGGACCUGCGUUGUAUUAGCUAGUUGGUGGGGUAACGGCUCACCAAGGCGACGAUACAUAGCCGACCUGAGAGGGUGGUCGGCCACACUGGGACUGAGACACGGCCCAGACUCCUACGGGAGGCAGCAGUAGGGAAUCUUCGGCAAUGGACGGAAGUCUGACCGAGCAACGCCGCGUGAGUGAAGAAGGGUUUCGGAUCGUAAAGCUCUGUUGUAAGAGAAGAACGAGUGUGAGAGUGGAAAGUUCACACUGUGACGGUAGCUUACCAGAAAGGGACGGCUAACUACGUG
rnacentral:rRNA from 1 species